rnacentral:rRNA from 1 species
CCUACGGGCGGCAGCAGAGGGGAAUAUUGGACAAUGGGCGAAAGCCUGAUCCAGCCAUGCCGCGUGUGUGAAGAAGGCCUUCGGGUUGUAAAGCACUUUCAGUGGGGAAGAAAGCCUUGGGGCUAAUACCCUCGAGGAAGGACAUCACCCACAGAAGAAGCACCGGCUAACUCCGUGCCAGCAGCCGCGGUAAUACGGAGGGUGCGAGCGUUAAUCGGAAUUACUGGGCGUAAAGCGCGCGUAGGCGGUCUGAUAAGCCGGUUGUGAAAGCCCCGGGCUCAACCUGGGAACGGCAUCCGGAACUGUCAGGCUAGAGUGCAGGAGAGGAAGGUAGAAUUCCCGGUGUAGCGGUGAAAUGCGUAGAGAUCGGGAGGAAUACCAGUGGCGAAGGCGGCCUUCUGGACUGACACUGACGCUGAGGUGCGAAAGCGUGGGUAGCAAACAGGAUUAGAUACCCGUGUAGUC